GACGAACGCUGGCGGCGUGCCUAAUACAUGCAAGUAGAACGCUGAAGGAGGAGCUUGCUUCUCUGGAUGAGUUGCGAACGGGUGAGUAACGCGUAGGUAACCUGCCUGGUAGCGGGGGAUAACUAUUGGAAACGAUAGCUAAUACCGCAUAAGAGUAGAUGUCGCAUGACAUUUGCUUAAAAGGUGCAAUUGCAUCACUACCAGAUGGACCUGCGUUGUAUUAGCUAGUUGGUGAGGUAACGGCUCACCAAGGCAACGAUACAUAGCCGACCUGAGAGGGUGAUCGGCCACACUGGGACUGAGACACGGCCCAGACUCCUACGGGAGGCAGCAGUAGGGAAUCUUCGGCAAUAGACGGAAGUCUGACCGAGCAACGCCGCGUGAGUGAAGAAGGGUUUCGGAUCGUAAAGCUCGGUUGUAAGAGAAGAACGAGUGUGAGAGUGGAAAGUUCACACUGUGACGGUAGCUUACCAGAAAGGGACGGCUAACUACGUG
rnacentral:rRNA from 1 species